rnacentral:rRNA from 1 species
CCUACGGGGGGCUGCAGUGGGGAAUAUUGGACAAUGGGCGAAAGCCUGAUCCAGCCAUGCCGCGUGUGUGAAGAAGGCCUUCGGGUUGUAAAGCACUUUCAGUGGGGAAGAAAGCCUUGGGGCUAAUACCCUCGAGGAAGGACAUCACCCACAGAAGAAGCACCGGCUAACUCCGUGCCAGCAGCCGCGGUAAUACGGAGGGUGCGAGCGUUAAUCGGAAUUACUGGGCGUAAAGCGCGCGUAGGCGGUCUGAUAAGCCGGUUGUGAAAGCCCCGGGCUCAACCUGGGAACGGCAUCCGGAACUGUCAGGCUAGAGUGCAGGAGAGGAAGGUAGAAUUCCCGGUGUAGCGGUGAAAUGCGUAGAGAUCGGGAGGAAUACCAGUGGCGAAGGCGGACUUCUGGACUGACACUGACGCUGAGGUGCGAAAGCGUGGGUAGCAAACAGGAUUAGAUACCCUAGUAGUC